UCCGUUUCUCCGAUAGCCUAAUCUCCCUAUCCUCCCUCAUCCCUUCUCUCUCCAUCACAAAUGUCACUUUGCCACUGAUAGAACCAUUGCUUCUCCAUGACCAUCAAUGAGUUUCAAGAAAAUAACAAACAACAAGAACCCAACAUAGAACAAAAAAUCCAACACAGAUCAAAUUAUAAUAUUCAAUUUUUUUUUUCAGAUUUGAGAAAUAGAUACAAAAGCCAACAACAAAAUUAAAAAUACCAAACUCAAGAAACAAAUCUAAAUCAAAUUCUUUUAAAAGAAAGGCAACCGGGAGCAUCGCGAAAUUCAUUCCCAAAGGAUAAUGACGAACCACUGCGAAAGCUUCCCUUGCAUGUGAACGCGGACCAUCAUGUGCCACUGCUGCCGGCCACCCCCUUCAACUCAUCCCGACGCCUCAUUCCAACCAAAUCCAAGGCGAACAAAACCAUAUCACCAUUGCGAACAACAAAAACUCAUCGCAAACCCAGUAAAUCCCACUAUGAACCGUGAAGGAGACCGCAAACCAUCGCAAAUCGCAUCACAAAAAUGGUGAAACUUCCGCCGACUGCCCUAUGCCUCUGCAGCCACCGAAGCCAAAAGUGAAGGUGUGCAAGAUUGACCGUCAGAACAGGGGAGUCUGCUCAUAUCUGUUUCAAUCGAAGUCCAACAUUGGGAAAAGAAAUCUGUGUUAAGGCUUCUUCAGAUCUACAAGAUGAUGGCCAGAGGAGAUGUGUGGGAGGGUGGUGUGAAGAAAGAUGCUAGCUGGUUUGGCGCCAGAGAAGGUGGAGAUGGAAGUGGCUGGGUCUCUGAGGGGAAGAGAUGGAAGGGGUUCUCCAAAGGACAAAAUUAGGAAAAGGAAGAAAAAAGAAAAUUUUGAGCCAUAGGUCAAAGCCUUUGAUUGGCCAUUAUGUGUAGGCCAAUGAUAAACACCACAAUCUGAGGACCCUCCCACUUGCAGAGCCAGUGUGAGCCACUGAGAGAGAUUGGACGCCUUCUCAAGCAGGUCUUGUGUGAAUCUUUAUGGGCCCCUAAUAAUCACAUGACACACUAUUUGAUUACUCAUAAAGGUAUUCUGCACUCCUGUCGUUCUUUUGCACAAUUAUUUUGCAUUAGCUUGUAUGAAACUGGUAUCGAUCAUGUUGAUUAAAAGCUAAAAAGCUUUGUUGAAGCCACUGUUUAAACACAGUGAUCAGUUCAAGCUCUUCUCUCCUCCCCUAGGUCCUUAAUAAAAAAGUUGGAUUAUUCUGUUUUUCUUCCUCUGUCAGAGACAAUGGCAAUGACUUGUACUCGACUUUUGGUAAUUCAGUGUGAUGAAUCAUAUAUUGAUCAAAAGCACUUCACUGACGGGUCACAUCUUCAUUUCCUCAACCCCUGCUUGUGCUCUAUACAAGCAGUUAAUUGUACGACAGCUAAAACUUCGGUCAGUGAAACUGUCUUUCUUCACCUGAUAAUACCUCUGUUGUACCCGAAGUUUGGAAUUUUUUUUAACCUUGGAUUCAUGUCACCUCUAUGGAAUAAAAAACACACUAGAAAAUAGCACGUAUAGCGUGUACGUGGGGAGUUAUAGACUUAAAGAGAGAGGUUCAGUGGUGAAAAUCAAUCAAAAGUGAACCAAAACUAUUUCACUCAUUGUGCCCUCCCCGUUAAUCAGUUAAUAUGCCAACAAAGAAAAACUCAGGUUGCCUCAGUGGCAUUGAUAACUAGAACUAGGUGUUAUGAGAGAACUUAGAAGUUGUGAAUUACGUAAUUUAGAAUUUAUAGCAGAUUUAAACAACAUUCAUUGUGAGCCAUACUGCAUUGCCUUUGAGUGAUAUACUGUUUUACUUGCCUGCUCUUUAAGGAUAUCCUUGUCUCCUUUUUAGUUUAUGGUCUUUAUUUUACAUUUUCCCUUCUUUGUUUAAACAUUUUACCCUAGUCAGUUAUGCUGUGAACGUUUUCUCUCUUCCCUUUUUAUUUCUUUGCGUGUAGUUUAUAGCUUGCAAAAUCUUACAACUGCACACAACAGACCAUAUAAAACAGGUCUGGCCACAACCGGGGCUGGGGGGGACCCUGGUCUAUUGACGUGCCCAAAAUUUAAUUCUGUCUUCAGCUUCCCCAUUUUUACUUGAUUUUUCAUCCACAUGAGCUUGUCAUUACGCAAAUAAAUGCAUCAUCAGAUAUUAUUACCUGAAAAUUUGCAUGAAAACAAAAUUUGAAAUAUUAUGUCUUGGGAAGCAAAACCCAAAAUAUCCCCCUUGGAAUGGUGCUGUAGGCUGUAGCAGCAAAUCUAUAUCUGUAUAUAUAAUAUGAAUUUGGCUUCUCUAAAAUAAGUAAUAUAGUUGUUGACGAUACUUUCAUAAUUUGAUAUGCAUAUGUAUGUAUUAUUGACUAUUAAUUUUCUUAUUAGGGUUCGAAAUUACUUACCUAGUAAGAUAAGAGCAUGUUUGGAUUCCCAUUUGUAGUGUUUCCAACUCAAAUUGGAUAAUAAACUCAGUUUUGUGUCAUGUUUGAUUAUUUUCAAACGUACGUUCGUACACUUGUAUAUAUUUUGUCUAAAAUCAAGUUUUCAUAAAAGCAAGAUCAAAGCUUUUUUUGCGAAUCCAGUUUGCAAAAUAAAAACUACUCCAAAAUUAAGUUUGUUAACUUUAACCUAAACAUGCACUAAUGCACUGUGACUUUUGUUGUUGUUUGUUUGAGAUUACUUAUUUUACGUACAUGCUUACUUUAAAAUAGCAGGAUCCAUAUUAACAUAUAUUGAUUUAGAUGUGAGUGCUGCCACUACCAAGAGGUGGAAGCUGUGUUGCUUAACUAGAGGAGUGGGCUUAGUAGUAUGUCUUUAGUUGUGUUAUCUAUCAAGUCAAGUCAAGUCCACCCACCCACCAAAGCCAAAUAGCAGCACACCAUCAGUGGCAUCAUACCUUACUUCCCACGUAUAUUAUCAUGAGCCCUAGUGAAAAAUCUUAAGGCAGAAUCCCAACAGUGGCAAAUUGAUUCCUCAUUUCUGAUUUCCAAUGACCUAAAAUUCUCCACUCUUGGGAUGACGUCACCCAGCUAUCUUAGUGGGGCCCAUCAAACCCUCUCCAUACCUUACCCUCUGAAUCUGCCCUCUGGCUGCAGUCUCUUUUCUUUUCCCAUCACUACUCUCCACCUUCGGGUUUACUCAUUAUCACUCUUCUGGUGUGAAAGUUUGGUAAGAAAAUCAGGGAUUUCGUUUCUUUUUUUCUCCCUUCUAGUUUUUCUAUUAUUUCUCUUUCUUUCAUUUCCCUUUCCCUUUCCCUUUUAGGCAGGGUUUGAGGGGGGCAACCUGACAAGUGGGUUAAUUGGAUCAAUUAUGAGAUGUCGCAUCCACCUAUCCUUGUCUUUGGUGAUUUCUCUUCUGGUUGACAUCCUGUUGCAAUCACGCAUCGACACAUUAUGUUAAAUUCCUACUUUGUUUUUCACUACAGUUGAAAACAUUUAAAUGGUUAUGACACAUACAUACCCCAUAAAGAGUAAGAUGUGCCAUUGAUUUUAAUAAAGAAAAAAGAGAGGAAUGUAAGAUUAAAAAGUGUUGAUCAGUUUAUGUGAAAAAAGAGUAAAUGAUAUUUUCAAAACA